rnacentral:lncRNA from 1 species
UUAGAACGCAGAGCCCAGGCGUGACAAUGGACUGUGCAGUUGAUUGGGUACUGAGGUCUAAGACCCACAAAACUCUUCUAUUUCAUUAAAACAAAGAAUUAGAAAAAUUAUGAAAAACAGCCUGAAGCUGCUUUCUUUGUUCUUAACCGACUGUGCUUCUAUUGAGAAUUUCAAAUGGAAUGUAUUCCUAUGUCAGGUUUUUCACAGCUUGCCUUCCCUGACUUGUUUAUGCCUUCAAAAUCAGUUACAGCUGGGGAUACCCAUACACCACCAACUCAGCUGCCAGCAGGGCUCGAAAGUCUUGGCUCCCUCUAAACUACAGCUUCUGGAUGCUGACCCUGGGAAAGUAGUCCCAGAAGAUUUCACAUCUAUGAUCGCAUUCUCUUCUCACCUAGAGCUGAUUCUUCAUCCCCAGAUGACCAGCAUAAUUUGUUUCUUUUACAGCUUGUUUAUCUAUCACCUAUCAUCUAUCUAUCUAUCUAUCUAUCUAUCUACUAUCUAUCGCUGAUUAUUGGUUUGUUUGUUUGUUUUUUCAAGACAAGGUUUCUCUGUGUAUCCUUGGCUCUUCUGGAACUCAUUCUGUACACCAGGCUGGCCUUGAACACAGAGAUCUACCUACUUCCUUCUCCCAAGUGCUGGGAUUAAAGGUAUGUGCCACCAUCCCAGUGUGAGCUUUAUUAUGUAAAUAAAAACAAAAGGUUAGUUUAGAUAACCCCAAAUAAGAAAAUUUAAGAAAACCAAGAAAAACAGAAGAAUUAAAGAGAAUAAAGGAAACAAAAAUUCUUCCAUAAAUGAAGUUCAUAAAUGAAAAAAAAAAUGAUGUUUAGAGUUGGCUUUAGAAAUAGAACACACAUUCAAAAUCUGUUUAUUUUUUCAAAACCGAUAACACAAUGAAAGUUAGGGAAGUCUAAAUGCAAACCUGCAGGGUAGAAAGAAACUAACCCCAAAAUAGCAUAACACAUAAUCCCUAAUUUAAAAAGUAAAAAUACUUAAUUAUAUCUUUCCAAGAAAAUUUUGUGAAAAUCAUAGAGAAAUUGAGGUAUAUAAACAUCUGAAAACAUUUCAAAAAAUAAUAAUUCUAAAUAUAUUGAUAUAGAGUUUUAUGCCUGGCCUUUUAAUGGUUUUCAGGAAUUGUAACAGAUUUUAAAGCUUUAUUAAUUUAUCCAAAACAACACAGUCAGACUUUAGCAUAUCAUAUUAUAAAAGGUAAUAAUCUUUAUGAAUAUGAAAAUAAGUUCUAAUACUAUAAACAAUGUAUCAGAACAUAUUCUUUGCAAUUUUACUACAUAGUUUUCAAAUUGUGUUUACUAAUACAUAUUUUUAUUUUAUAUUCAUAAAUGUAUUAUUUUGUGAUGACAGACCUAUUGUGAAAAUGAAAAUCAUAGUAAAUAUAUUUAUUUUAAAAGUAUAUUCAGUAUUGAUAAAGUCAAUGAAAAUAUAACAAACAUCUUUUGAGAUUUAAUAAAUGUUGUUUUAAAAGAUUUGAACAAAUGAAAUAAAAUUUCUGGAUAGGAAGGAACACAUUUGGAAAAUUGAAAUAAUAUCUUGUACAUGACACUAACAUUUUUGCCAAAUAAAAAAUCAAAUUCAAAUCCAGCACCCAAAGGAUGUAAAAUGUACUUGAGAAGUCACAUUUUCUGCACAUGUGUAAUUUGCGUAUUGGAAUUUUAAAACUGGAAACAUUCUUUAUUUAAUAGCACUAAGGAGUUACCAUUCCAUAAUGUGUAAAUAAAGAGGUUGAUACAUAGAAUUAAAUAUCUACAUGUUGAAGAUUCUUGUGAUAGUCUUAACCUUAACCUAAUCUAGAUCUCAAACAUUAUUUCUAAAUAGAACAGGGUUUUAAGUAUAAUUUUGUAGAAUUAAUAAAAAUAUUAACCUCUAUGAAUGAGUUUCCAUCUAAUACAUUUAUAUCAAGGAAUGAAAACUCGAGCACAGUUAGGAGAUAUAAUUGUGGCUAUAUAUUUAUUUCACUAUUAUAUAUUUACUACACAUUAAAUAUAAAAAGUUUAAAUUUGAGAGAAGAUACAUAAUAAUUAUAUCACUUAUUACCAAAGGGAAAACAGUCUUGAUUUAUGUUUAACAGGUUUAUUGAAAUAAAAUUUCCAUACUAUAAAGUUCAACUACAUUGAGUAUACAAUUCAAUGCUUUUUAUUAGAGUCACUGAGUUGUACAACUGUCAGCAUUCAGCUUAAAUUGGGCGGUAGCCUGUAGGACUUGAGAUAUUUUAUCUUUAAUAUAGGCAUUUUCUGUUUUAAGUUUCUUUUUAUAUGUGGCAUUAGGUGCAUCUUAUGUUAUCUUUACAGGUUUCCUCCACAUUUACUUCCAAGUGUUUCUUCAUGUUCUUUGUUCCCUUCUUUGGCCCACUGAUUAAUUAACUGUUUCUUAAUCUCACGUUUGUGAUUUUUGUUGUUGUUGUUGUUAUAAAUCUCUAACUUAAUGGCUCUACAUUCCCCAAACAUACUGUUUUAUGAAUUCUGUUUUUUUUUCAUAAAUUUGUACUUGUGGACUUACACAGUACCUACUUUUGAUAGUUAAGUAUAUGUGAGUAUCUUUUGCUGUUGGCUUCUACCCUUUGUGUUUUUGUAAGUUUUGAUCUUUUACCUAAUUUAUAUAUUUGUUGAAGCAAAGUGGAAACUGAAAUACUGGAGACUUGAAUUCUUACAGAAUUGAAUAGUACCCCUUCUGUUCAUUCACUCUUCACUCUGUCUUUGGGCUAUGUUGUUUGGUUCAUAUAUCAAUAAUUAUUGGUAGCUUCUUGAUUGCUUGAUACCUUAAUGAUUAAAUACAAUUUACUUACUUUUGGUAACCGUGUUUUAUUCUUUUAAAGUUGUGUGAUAUUGAUACAGCCAUUUAACACUCUUACAGUUCUUCAAAAGAUAUAUAUUCUCACCACUGACUUACAUUCGACAAGAUGGUUGUAUGUAUGUGUAUUUGUUUUAAGAGUGUCACUGUAAAUAGUACAAGGUUGGACAUUGAUUUUCUUCUGCUUUAUUCACUCUGAUAUUCUAUUUCUUUUGAUUUCAUAGUUCAAUCAUUCACAAUUAUUGUAUUAGUGUUAUCUAUAUGGCUGAAUUUCCUUGAUCUAUUUUGCUAUCUAGUUUAUGUCUUGUAUCUGUUUCUAUUCCUUUCUUUUUCAUUACCUUUUGAAAUAAGGAAAUAAUGCUUUCUUCAAUCAUUUAGUUCAUUUAGACAAUGUUAACUCCAUAUAUUUAUUUUUCA